rnacentral:rRNA from 1 species
GACGAACGCUGGCGGCGUGCUUAAUACAUGCAAGUCAGCUUGACUUUAGAUAGCAAUAUCGAAAGUAGGGUGGCGCACGGGUGCGUAACGCGUAGGUAAUCUGCCCUGAGGUCUGACAUAACCCGUCGAAGGCGGGCUAACAUCAGAUGAUAUAUAAUCACGACAUCGUGGAAAUAUCAAAUCUUCGGAGCCUUGGGAUGAGCCUGCGUCUGAUUAGGUAGUUGGCGGAGUAAUAGCCACCAAGCCUACGAUCAGUAGCUGGUCUGAGAGGAUGAUCAGCCACACUGGAACUGAGACACGGUCCAGACUCCUACGGGAGGCAGCAGUAAGGAAUAUUGCUCAGU